rnacentral:rRNA from 1 species
UAGGGAAUCUUCGGCAAUGGACGAAAGUCUGACUGAGCAACGCCGCGUGAGUGAAGAAGGUUUUCGGAUUGUAAAACUCUGUUGUUAGAGAAGAACAAGGACGUUAGUAACUGAACGUCCCCUGACGGUAUCUAACCAGAAAGCCACGGCUAACUACGUGCCAGCAGCCGCGGUAAUACGUAGGUGGCAAGCGUUGUCCGGAUUUAUUGGGCGUAAAGCGAGCGCAGGCGGUUUCUUAAGUCUGAUGUGAAAGCCCCCGGCUCAACCGGGGAGAGUCAUUGGAAACUGGUAUGCUUGGGUGCAGAAGUGUAGGGUGGAAUUCCAUGUGUGGCGGUGAAAUGCGUAGAUAUAUGGAGGAACGCCAGUGACGAAGACGACUCUCUGGUCAGUAACUGACACUGAGGCUCGAAAGCGUGGGGAGCAAACAGG